UUUGUUCAUUUCUUUUCUCUGGAGAACUACCACGACUUCGUUGAGUACCACUGGUGUUACAUCUACAGGUACUUGGGCGAGCUCAUCCCGACCAUUUUCCACACCGCCUCUAUCUGGCUGACGGUGACGUUGGCCCUUCAGCGUUAUGUCUACAUCUGUCAUACAGCCGCCGCUCGGAGAUUCUGCACCAUCCAAAAUGUCAUCUUUGCGACUUUCAUCAUAUACAUGCUUGCCAUAUUGUCACAGAUUACGCGUUUCUUUGAUUUCGAAUUUACCCCAUUUCCCAUGUUUUCGUUUGACUCGCCAAACAGUACCCUCGUUACGUGUAUCGAGCGAACCAGUCCAUGGGUGAACCAGAACGAAAACUUGUACUUCAAUCUCUACUUCUGGUUCCGAGCAAUUUUUAUUCACCUCGUACCAUGCACUAUUCUCGUGGUUAUCAAUUCAGUGCUCAUAUGGACUCUCCGGACGGCUCAAAAAAGGAGGAUGCAGCUUCUGAAACAAAAUAAAAAGAGCGAGUCAAUGAAACUGAAGGACAGCAACUGCACAACACUAAUGCUUGUGACGGUCGUUGGCUUAUUUCUACUGGUUGAACUUCCUUUGGGAAUAAUCAUGAUACUGCAUCUGGUUCAAAACAAUUUCGACAUUGAUAUCAUGUCGAACGAAACUUUCAAAUUGCUGAAUUUGAUUUCGAACACCUUCAUUUUACUGUCAUACCCUUUGAACUUCUUCAUUUACUGCGGUAUGAGUCGACAGUUCCGGGAAACUUUGAUGAGCAUGUUCGACACAAUAAAGACACAGAACAGCAGGAAAAGGUACGCUUCGAUCCCGACAGACAACGGACGCACAAUGGCCGAGUCCACUUGCAGAGAAACAGUGUUGUGAACAAGGACAGUUAUCUCUUUGCCAGAGUCUAACAUUGUCAAAGAUAACAUCAACUACACAUUGUUUGUUAGAUAACGAAUGGUUGUGCAAAGCAGAGAAAUUCAUUUUACAUGUAUAUAUGCACAUAUUUUGUAAAAAGAAGAUGUAUGUUGCAAAUUUCAAAGUUCGCUAUGUCUAACAGGUUGUCAUUAAUGCACACAAAAUACAAAUAAGUGUCAAACUGAUAUUGUGAUAUAUAUAUGUAUCUGUUAUGAAUUGUUGUAAGAUAUUGUAUAAAUAUCUGGCAUAUAGAUUCGUCAUGAUUUUUUUUUCUUCUUCUUUUUUGUUCGCGAUAAUUUGUAUAUCACAAAAUCAGUAAAUUCAGAAAUAAUGUCAACGAUGGUAUCAAAUGUUUUAUCAAACAUCUAAAAUUUGCAAAAAUGGCAUACGCAAUUUUUUUUAAAGUUAAAGAUUUAUUCUUACUUUUUGGGUUACAUCUACAACAAGCGAAAAAAUCCUAAUAUACGGUAAUAACUGUGAACAUACGCGCACAAAAAUCCGCGAAAUUGGCCGGCAACCCUUGUCGUGGAUACUUUUUCUCGCUUACCUAUAUUGUUGGAUGCGUUAUUCAUAUCAAAUAGAUAAAAUGAAUUCGCGAAUGUUAAAAAACAUGCGUAGUACUCUGUUUACAAUAUAUGCAUGUAAUUAUACAUUAUAUAUGUACAUAUGAUAUUAUGUGUGUUUAUGAAUAUAGUAAAAUAAUCGAAAUUG
rnacentral:misc_RNA from 1 species